rnacentral:rRNA from 1 species
CCUACGGGUGGCAGCAGUCGAGAAUCAUUCACAAUGGGGGAAACCCUGAUGGUGCGACGCCGCGUGUGGGAAGACGGUCCUCUGGAUUGUAAACCACUGUCCCCAGGGACGAAGAUGACGGUACCUGGGGAGGAAGCUCUGGCUAACUACGUGCCAGCAGCCGCGGUAAUACGUAGGGAGCGAGCGUUGUCCGGAAUUAAUGGGUGAAAAGGGAGCGUAGGCGGGACUGCAAGUUGGGUGUCAAAUCUACCGGCUCAACCGGUAGCCGCACUCAAAACUGCAGUUCUUGAGUGAAGUAGAGGAAGGCGGAAUUCCUAGUGUAGCGGUGAAAUGCGUAGAUAUUAGGAGGAACACCAGUGGCGAAGGCGGCCUGCUGGGCUUUUACUGACGCUGAGGCUCGAAAGUGUGGGGAGCAAACAGGAUUAGAUACCCUAGUAGUC